rnacentral:piRNA from 1 species
CACAUGUCCUGUCAUUUAGAAUGGCAGCUGU